UACGUAGGGUGCGAGCGUUGUCCGGAAUUAUUGGGCGUAAAGGGCUCGUAGGCGGUUUGUCGCGUCGGGAGUGAAAACCCAGGGCUUAACCCUGGGCUGGCUUCCGAUACGGGCAGACUAGAGGUAUGCAGGGGAGAACGGAAUUCCUGGUGUAGCGGUGAAAUGCGCAGAUAUCAGGAGGAACACCAACGGCGAAGGCAGCUCUCUGGGACGUUACUGACGCUGAGACGCGAAAGCGUGGGGAGCAAACAGG
rnacentral:rRNA from 1 species